CACGCACUGCUCCUCGAACUCAUGCAGCCUCUUUAGCUCCUCGUCGCUAAGGAAGAGCUCUGUGUGAAGGGAGAAGUGUCGGCCACGUGAAAAACAAGAAGAAUCAGUUUCGUGGCGUCAAUGAGAAUUUCACAGCCCCACUUUAAUUAAGCUCUCUUCUCCGCCACUCCUAAGGCAGUUCGCCACUACUCCAAUUGAUUUUUAUCUAAAAAGGGGUUGUCAUACGCCCCAACCCUCUAUCAGUUGGAGCCAAACGGCCCGCUUUUAAACAUAAAAAACAAAAUUACAUUUACUGGGAAAGUAAAGCCAAGUAAUAUUUCCUGGAAAACUUUUUGCACUUAUUUUUAUGAAUAGAGUCAAACGUAUAGCAUUAUUUUCUCAUUUUCUUUAGAUGCAACAAAUUAAGACGUUUUGAAAGGAGCAUUGAAUUUAUAUAGAAAUUUACAGAGUAGAGUUAUUUUAGAGAAUUAGCUCAACUUCUGGUCUCUAUGAGCUGGCUUUCCUAAUAUUAAUUACUAACAAAUUAACGAAACUAGAAUAAAAUGGGUACAAAAUGAGAAGCCUUUUGAAAAGAACAGCAGUUGGACUGAGUGUGGUGCUUUUCACACGAGCAAGUAGUUGAGUGAGAUUUCUGUGAGGAUGUCCAAUUUGAACACUAUUUUGAAAUCAGCCCAACUUAGAAAUGAAGAGCCCUGCACAUACUCAAUCCACGAUCCCGUUCCUCUUGGUCCCCUUCUCUCUUUUUCCUGCAGCGGCCGCUGAGACGCAUAAUGAUGAUGUAGAUGUGGCUUAAAAUGAUCAUCGGUGGGGGCAGGACUGGCCUGUCAUGAAAUGUCAUAAUCAGCUGAUAUCGCUGGAACUUCCACACCUGGUUGGAUAUUGAUUUUACUUCAAAGAAGGCUCACGAUGUAGGAGAUGACGAUCCACUCCUGGAGGGACGGCCAGCCAUCCAUCCGCACCAGGAUGACGUAGUUAAACAGCAGCAGGUUGACACAUCUAAAAGAAUCUUUGUUUCCAACUGGACUGACUCAUUGAGAGGAAACCUUCACUGCACCUCACCAGUGCAGACAGAAGACCUGGAGGCAGGACGGGAGGCAUUUUAUACUUCAGCACGAUAUGGGCCCUGACUUUUCAUUUUCUACAUGGAGACAUAUUGAUCCUGCCUCCCAAGCCUAUAAGCUUUACCAGGAGAGAGGCAGGCCCCACCCCAAGAUCCACUAUCCACUCUUUGAAGAAAGAUUAGAGCCAUGUUCUCAGACUUUGGGCUGCAUCCUAAUCCCUGCGAAGCUGCACAAUGUGUGAUGACUCCACCCUCCACCCGAUCCAGAGGGUCUGGGGUGAGACCCAAGGCUGAGAGGCCUCGAUGGCUUCCUGGCCCCAUCUCCGGCAGCAGCCUCUAUGGCUGGGCUCUCCUGCAGGCUGGGUGCACCCCAGGCCCUCAGAUGGUUCUAACCAGAAUCGAUGGGCAGCAGUGACUUCGACUGUAUCAUCAAUCUUGGCUGCCACAAGGUUGGGUGUCCAGGCCCUCAGCUGACCCUUGAGGUGGGCCCCCACACAGAGCUUUGCUCUGCCCCCAGCCCACCCUCAUUCAUCGCCCAGACCACGGCCAGGGACCCAGCUCCUCAUGUCCCAUACCCUGCUCUCACCUCAUCACCAGUGCAACCACAGCACCGAGGCCUGCCUGGCGGGGGCUGUGGCUUGAUGCUUGGGAUUUCAUGAGAAGUCUCUCUCCUCCCGACUGACGUGGUUGCACAAGCCACAGUGUGCCUGGCCACCCCCACUGGGACCGCCUGCAGCUCGGCCAUUUCCCCCAGAGGCGCUCUGAUCUGCCCUCCUGCCUCCUCUCCUGUUCUUGUUAGUAGAGAGCCACACUCUGGGAGCUGUGUAGACCCAGGGCCUCAGAGAGGGCUGGAGGAUGGCUUGCCAGCCAAGCGGGUCAGUUUGGUGAGCACUUCAGAAUGAGACGCCUUGAUUUGUUUCCCUAUUCCAAGAGUUUACCAUCUGGAUUUAGCCAUGCCCUUGUAAUGACCCCACCAAUUUCAUGAAAAAUGGAAUCUGUGAAUUUGCUCUUUAAAUCACUAGUCAUCUCUGUUCAUUUAAAAAUAAAAUUAUAGUUCCUUAAGUUUGUAUUGCUAAAGGCAUCAGAAGAAUUCAUCUUAAGCAAAUAGCAUGUGACUAUUUUGCCUUAUGAGAUGGUGUAUUUGGGACUAGGAUGGCCAUAUAUCAAUAUGUGACAGGAUAUCGAGAUCCAAUGUUAGCCAGAGAUCUCAAUUAGUCCCAGUUUUGUUCUCAUAAUUCAUUUUAAUUCAGUGAAUUUUUAGAUACUUUUUUAAGCCCUUGAAGUUUUUCUUGAUUCCAACAUAUCAAAGCAUUCAAAAUAUACUGAAUGUCAAAUGUUCAGGAGGAGGCCUCACUGUGUAAAACCAGAACUUGACA
rnacentral:lncRNA from 1 species